CUCGACCUCGGAUCAGGCGUGACUACCCGCUGAAUUUAAGCAUAUAACUAAGCGGAGGAAAAGAAACUAACUAGGAUUCCCCCAGUAACUGCGAGUGAACGGGGAACAGCCCAUCGUCGAAGCCCCCGCGGACCCCGCGGUGGGCAAUGUGACGAAUCGGGGUAGCCGAGACGUCGACCGGCGGGUCGUUGCCUCAAGUCCGCGUGACCGUGGCUCUCGCCCCGCGAGGGUGAAAGGCCCGUCGUGGCAACGACGAUUCCUCGCCGGCGGACUCGGUUUUGCCUCUGCACCCGAGUCGGAUUGCUUGAGAGUGUAAUCUUAAGCGGGUGGUAAACUCCAUCCAAGGCUAAAUAAUUCCACGAGACCGAUAGCAAACAAGUACCGUGAGGGAAAGUUGCAAAGAACUCUGAAGAGAGGGUUCAAGAGAACGUGAAACCGCUCGGUGGUAACCGGGAGGGAGCCUCGAAGCGCUAACGAGGAUCUGGGGAAUUCAGCCGGUGACGCGCGCCCGCCUCGGCUCGGCCAGUUCCGGUACGUGCCUUCACGGGUGCGUGCCGGACGGACGGAUUCGCUUCGUUGCCUGGGGAAUCACGCCUUUCGGGGCGUCCCCAGGUUUGCGACGGACCGGGUCGGGUCUGACUAGAGCGGCGGUUGCGGCGUCCCGGUGCACUUUCCCCGCGGCCUCCAUUUUUUACGUACGCCGCCACCGGACGGGUUGCGGAAAGGUCGUCGCGCGGUUUAGCCGGCAGUCGACCGCCCCCCUCACGUCCUUCGGGUCGUGAUGGUUUGGGGGGGUCUAGCCGGUUCCGCCCGUCAUCGACGGGGCCUUCUUACCGCGUCCGUCCGCGUCCACCCCAUCUGUUCGACAUCGGCACGUCUUUGGAUGUGCGCGGCUGGCGUCUCGGGUCUCGUCGGCGGUUUUCUCCUGCUCCGGAACCUUGCGUUCGGGACGGGGCCGUCGGCGGACACGCAUGAGAGACGCGCGGGUCUGCCGUCCUCGAUGUCACGUGUGGGCGGCGAUAGUAGAUCGGCUUCCCUCCCGACCCGUCUUGAAACACGGACCAAGGAGUYUAACCUGUGCGCGAGUCGUGGGGCAAGGUUGCGAAGCCCUCUUUCCACGGCGCAGUGAAAGCGAGAGGAACGGUUUCCGUUCCGCAGCCCGCGCGAUCCCGGCCGAGCCCCCUUAAAAGGGCGGAGCUGGGCGCAGCGCGGACCCGUGCCAGUCGCUUCUUGCCGACGGCACGGAGUUGGAGCGUACACGUUGGGACCCGAAAGAUGGUGAUCUAUGCCAGGGCAGGGCGAAGCCAGAGGAAACUCUGGUGGAAGCCCGCCGCGAUUCUGACGUGCAAAUCGAUCGUCUGACCUUGGCAUAGGGGCGAAAGACUAAUCGAACUAUCUAGUAGCUGGUUCCCUCCGAAGUUUCCCUCAGGAUAGCUGGUGCGCGUACGAUGCAGUCGCAUCCAGUCGAGCGAAUGAUUAGAGGCCUUGGGAUCGAAACGAUCUCAACCUAUUCUCAAACUCACAACGGGUGCGUUGGCCGGUUUGCUUGAAUGAAACCCGGUUCCUAACGAUGCUGCGUACCCAGUGGGCCCGUUUUGGUAAGCAGAACUGGCGAUGCGGGAUGAACCGAACGUUCGGUUAGGGCACCGCAGCACGGACGCUCAUGGGAUCCCACGAAAGGUGUUGGUUGCUUUAGACAGCAGGACGGUGGCCAUGGAAGUUGGAAUCCGCCAAGGAGUGUGUAACAACUCACCUGCCGAAGCAACCAGCCCUGAAAAUGGAUGGCGCUCGAGCGUGUCGCCCAUACCGGACCGCCGGAUGCACGAUCAAUAUUAUUGAAACAGGCACCGGCGAGUAGGAGGGGCACGGCGGUACGCGGCGAAGGUGUCGGACGUGAGUCCGCCCGGAGCUGCCGCCGGUGCAGAUCUUGGUGGUAGUAGCAAAUACUCCAGUGGGACCCUGGAGGACUGACGUGGAGAAGGGUUCCAUGGGAACAGCCGUUGACCAUGGGUCAGUCGAUCCUAAGGGACGGGACAACUCCUGUUUGAAAAGCGACGGGCGCUGCAAAGGCGUGCCUCGAUCACCCGAAAGGGAAGCGGGUUAAUAUUCCCGCACCCGGACACGGCAGAUCUCGUUCACCGAUCUAUUCCUUCCGUUCGUUUGUGGCGUUCACGCGCUGCGCGUGCCUUGCCCCUUCCGUUCGUUCCUUCGCGGGUUCGUUUCGGUUUGGGAYCUCGGUGCGUCGUAUGCCGGGUUCUCACGCGGCGGGAGGAAAGGUGAACACGGGGCGGUGACGCUCUCGCUCUCGGAGACACCGGCGGCGGGCCCGGGAAGAGUUUUCUCUUCUUGUUAAGGGACGAGCUCCCUGGAACUGAAUCGUUCGGAGCAAGGGACUCGGUUUUUCCGCAAAGCACCGCGGCUCCAGCGGUGUCCGAGGUGCCGUCGCCGGUCCUUGAAAAUGCCGAGACGCGUUUUGCGAU
rnacentral:rRNA from 1 species